UACGUAGGGGGCAAGCGUUGUCCGGAUUUAUUGGGCGUAAAGAGCGUGUAGGCGGCCAUACAGGUCCGUUGUGAAAACUGGAGGCUUAACCUCCAGACGUCGAUGGAAACCGUGUGGCUAGAGUCCGGAAGAGGAGAGUGGAAUUCCUGGUGUAGCGGUGAAGUGCGCAGAUAUCAGGAGGAACACCGGUGGCGAAGGCGGGUCUCUGGGCAGUAACUGACGCUGAGGAGCGAAAGCGUGGGGAGCGAACAGG
rnacentral:rRNA from 1 species